UACGUAGGUUGCAAGCGUUAUCCGGAUUUACUGGGCGUAAAGCGGGCGCAGGUGGCCUGGCAAGUCAGAUGUAAAAGUUCUCGGCCUAACUGAGAAAGGUCAUCUGAUACUGUUAAGCUAGAGUGCAACAGAGGGAGGUAGAAUUCCCGGUGUAGUGGUGAAAUGCGUAGAUAUCGGGAGGAAUACCAGUGGCGAAGGCGGCCUCCUGGGUUGUAACUGACACUGAUGCCCGAAAGCGUGGGGAG
rnacentral:rRNA from 1 species